UCCCCCCAUCUCCACCCAGUAGGGAUACCCCGGUGGGGGAAAAACAGGAGACGAAACUGCAGCUGCAACCAGCAAGCGGUGGCAAGGCGGAAUGGUGGUCGCCGUCGCGUCGCCCUCGUCGGCGGCGCCCUCUGCCGGCCGCCCCCACCCGACGUACAAGGAGAUGGUCGUGCAGGCGCUGACGGAGCUGCGGGACCCGGGCGGCUCGAGCCGCCGCGCCAUCGCCAAGUACAUCGCCGACCACUUCUCCGGCCUCCACUCUAGCCACGAGGCGCUCCUCUCCGUCCACCUCCGCCGCCUCAGGUCCCAGGGCCAGCUUCGCCUCGUCUCCGGCAACUACUUCCUCUCCACCGAAGCUCCCCCUCCGCAGCCGCGGCGGAGCCCCGGCCGCCCGCCCAAGCAGAAGCGUGGCCGGGGGCGGCCUCGCAAGAACGCAGAUUUAGCUACCUCCGCUCCGAUUCCGAACCUUCAGGGGCCCAAGCGAGGGCCUGGACGCCCCCGGAAGAACGCUCUUGUCCCGGUGGCUUCAUCUGCUUUCACACUGCUGGGAGCAAUUGCUGCGCCGUCCUCAUCUGGGGUCAAACGGGGGCGUGGACGCCCACGCAAGAACGCCCUUGUCCCGGUGGCUUUCUCUGCUUCGCCGCUGCUGGGAGCCAUUGCUGCUCCGCCUCCAUCUGGAGCCAAGCGGGGGCGUGGACGCCCACGGAAGAACGCCCUUGUCCCGGUGGCUUCCUUUGCUUCGCCGCUGCCGGGACCGACUGCUCCGCUGCCUCCAUCUGGGGUCAAGCGGGGUCGUGGACGCCCACGGAAGAAUGCCAUUGUGCCGGUGUCUUCCUCUGCUUUGCCGCUGCCGGGAGCGAUUGCUCUGCCGCCUCCAUCUGGGAUCAAGAGUGGGCGUGGACGCCCACGGAAGAACGCUUUUGUCCUGGUGGCUUCCUCUACUUCGCCGCUGCCAGGAGCAACUGCUGCACCAACUCCAUCUGGGGUCAAGCGGGGGCGUGGACGCCCACGGAAGAACGCCCUUGCCAUGGUAGUUUCCUCUUCUUUGCUGCUGCCGAGAGCGAUUGUUCAGCCCCCUCCAUAUGGGGUCAAGCGGGGGCGUGGACGCCCGCGCAAGAAUUCCUACCCUGUUGCUUCGCCGCUGCUGGGAGUAGUAUCUGUGAGUAGUGACAGUGUAGUUGGUGCAAAGAGGGGACGAGGGCGCCCUCCUAAGGUUGUGGUUGCUGGGAAGAGAAAGCGUGGCCGUCCUCCUAAGGAGAAGAUGCAACCUGAAGCUGUGCAAUCUGCAGAUGCUCCAUUGACUAAGAGAAGGCCUGGAAGACCAAGAAAGGAGAAGACAUUGGAAAGUGGGCAAUUGAAAGCUGCACAGAUGGCUGAGGGUCGACAUGAAGCGCUGCCACUAUUAGCACAAGCUGCGAGCCAAGCUGAGACUGUGCAAAAUGAAGUUGAAGCUAUGAGUUUGCAACCCUUUGGCACUUCUUUGACGGAGAAGAGAGGUCGCGGGCGACCUAGAAAGAGGCCAUUGGAAACUGAAACUGCUGAAACAGGAGAUGCUACAUUGGUGGUCAAGAGGGGGCGGGGGAGGCCAAGAAAGGAGAAUCCAACAGCAGGGAGGUCUACAGAAACCGGGCUUACUGCAUCGAUGGGGAUCAAGAGAGGGCCUGGAAGGCCAAGAAAGGAGAAUCCAUCAGCAGGGAGGUCUACAGAAACCGGGCUUACUGCAUCGACGGGGAUCAAAAGAGGGCCUGGAAGGCCAAGAAAGGUCAGGCCUUUUGAAACUGUGUCUGUGGAAACUGCAGUAGAGGUAUCUAGGGACUUGACUGAAGGGAGGCCUGAAAAGGGUGAGGAUCUGGCAUCAAGGAAGAAAACAGAAACUCAAGGUGUACUUUUGGUUGAGGAGAUGGAUGCUCGGCCUGCAAAUGCUGGAUGUGUGCUAGUGUCUGGAGAAGAGGCAGAAAUUGCUCCCAUGGAUGCUGGAGGUGCAGUGCCAAUGGUAGUGUCAGGAGAGGAGGCAGCAAUUGCUCCCAUGGAUGCUGGAGGUGAAAUGCCAGGGGUAGUGUCAGGAGAGGAGGCAGCAGUUGCUCCCAUGGAUGCUGGUGGUGCAGUGCCAGGGGUUGAUCCAAUGGACUCUGACGUGGGCACCAAGAGUCAUUAGUGCACCUAAGGCAGCAACAGCAAGAAUGAGAGAAUGAUAGUACCUGGAAAGCAGAGCAGAACCUGUAGUUGUGGAACUGUGUUCAUGUCAUAAUGGAUAUAGUUAAUCGACAUACUGCAAAGAUUGCCAUAUGUUUGCAACCAAGAUGAUUACUGGUAAUCCACUGACCACUGCAGGUGAACUGAAUCUCUUUCAGGUAAUCCACAGCAUGCGACUGUGGAAACUCAGUGCAAGCUUGAAUGACAAUUGAUGAAAUAUAUGCCCUGAUUCUUUUGAUGAGAUUCUGGCUUUCUGCAAACUGAAUGCCCCCAACAAGUCAGGGCAUGCCGGGUGUCAAUCAUGAUUAAAUAAUGUUACUACUGAAUGAAAGUAACCCGAUGUUACCAGUCUUAACAGCAGCAGCAAUUCUCUUGCUCUAAAAUCUCACCCAUGUUGACUUUACAGAAUAGCGAGGGUCUUUCCUAACUGUGUUUUGGUUUGGAAAUGUUGGUUACGUUGAUUCAUACAUUUUGAUACUGCACACACCGUUCCUUUUGUUUUGAUAUCA